UGGGAGCCGUCAGCCUUGUGAUCCCGGCCACUGGCUUUCCUCAGGGCACCUCCCUUGGUCUGAAUCACGGAAGCUACACUGCACGUUCUUUCCCACCAAUGACCAGUGAGCGAGCAGCAUCCUGGGUGCUGAGGAGGCCUUGUCGCCCCACAAGGCCUUGCCUGCCUGCAGCACCCUCACCCACCCCCUGCCCCACCAUGAGGUCCUGAUUGCUCGCUCACUCGUUCUCCUGCCACUCCCACUGUCCCCAACCAGCCAGCACGGGGAGAGGCUCACUGACUGGUCCCCUUUCUACUCAGACCCUCCCUAAGCUGCAGCCGUGGGAAUCCGAGCCUUUUACAUCAAUGUGCUUGGGUUUCAGUAAACAUGAAGGCACUGGGCUUCGGGUGCAGCACACAGGCCUCAACAUGGUGGAAGGAAGAGUCUGGAUUUCACUCCACUGCCGCCGCCUCCCACAGCUCUCUUCCCGCUCGCUAUUGAAUACUUCAGUUCAAGAGCCUCAGGUGCUGUGUCCGUUCCAAGAGUCCUAGUGCUCCGUGGUGAUCUUGGAAGCCACUCUGGUAUCCCAGGAUCUAUUCAAAUCAAGUUCGUCAGUUCUGAGUUUAGAAAAAUCUUCAACUGUGCAUAUAUGCAUGGAAAUGUGACACAGACUCCUGGAGAGUGUCUUGUCUAGAGGAAUACCUGAAUGAAAAGCGGCAAUCUCAGCUGGCUAAUCGAGAAGAGCUAGAGACCUUCAUCUGUAUCUUGGUCAUUCUCCUCCAAGAAGCCUCCUUUUUUUAUGGGCUGCCCCCUGUGGAUAUGGGCAUAUGUGUUGGUAUUGUUGAACCAGCUGGAGGGCCACACGAAGAAAUGGAAUUGAGUGAGCAGAAUAUGGUUAACUCUCAAAACCCCAGCUGCUGUGCUUCAGUCAGCAGGAAACAACAGGUGUCAUCCUCGUGGAUCUGUGGGCCCAACUACGAACAGAGAAUGGAAAGUUAACACACAAACGUUUUGUUCUCCAGAAAAAUGAAAAUCAUUCAGCCAAGUCCACACAGCUGUAGCCAGUGGCCAUUUGUGAUAUGUUAGUCUUUGCAAAGUAACAGGAGAUAUUUAGUUCGGGCCUGAGAAUAUGACAUAUAAGCGGACUUUCCCACCGAAUCAUGCACAUACACUAUUUCCAUUAACGGUUCUUUUCUGUCUUAAUUAAAUUUAGAGUUUAAUCCAUAAGCAGUGUUCGAAGGGAAUGGUAUACUUUUGGGAAAAUGAGACCAAACUUUUAGCUUACACAAAAAUGUCAUUUUAAAGCAUAAAAUUGAAAAUACAGCAUCUUUUGUUCUUUAAGUAUAAUUGCUGAUUAUGUUUUCACUUUAUGACCUAGCAUGUAGUAUUUGUUGCAAAGCACAUAUUAAAUAAUUAAAUACUUUAAAAAUGUACUUUUUUGAAACAAAGAUUUCAAUCUCUGUGAAGAGAAACAAUACUAUGCACUUAUAUAAUAUUUAUAUAAAGCACAAUAACAUUUACAUAAUAUCUUUGAGGAUGUCAGAGUGUUUUCCCUGCAGAAACAACACUGUAGCAGCUCUAGAGAGAAGGGCAAAUUUUUUUGUUAUGCUUACUUAACUCUAUUCCUGCGGAGAGUGCCUGUACUCAAAGUCAGGAGAGACAGAGCAUAGUGAGGGAGAGGAGAGCAGAGAAGAGUUAUGGGUCUCCCAGGCUACGGAGUCUGAUUCUGUUAUUUUCUAGGUCUGGAAAAAAGGAAACCAGCAUGAAAUCACAAGUCAUAUCUUGAUGAGGGAAAACAAAAGAAGAUCCUAUUGUGUCAGGUCAUUUAAAACUCCAAAGUGACUUUUAUUAUUACAGCUGGAUAAAGUGAGUGGGUUCUUAUUGGUUUAGAUAUUAAAAUGAACCAUAAACAUGGCUGUUUGGGCUAAGUGAGUGAUGAAUCUUAUGUGCUGGCUUAAUUUCCCAGAGUUUUAAGUGGAUUAGUCUAAAGGCAAUACCAAUUUAUUAGUUUCUCAGAACUAGAGUUGGGAAAAAAUGAUAGUAUGAAUAAGAAAAUGUUAUUAUGCAGUAUAUAUUUCAUUUUAAAGUUUGAAUUAUUUCUUGGAAUCUGAUCUGGGUCUGAUCUGUAGAAUUUUCCACUUGACAGCCUUAAACAUUGGCAAUAAUCCAACAGUUGUUACUGACUCCUUUUAAGCUUCACUACCCAGGAUUUCAUUUUGGUGGUUUGAAAAAAGUCCCAUGAAUUGCAUCCUUUCACAGUUAGAAAUCGAAGGGUUCACACUUCUUGUCAGCAGGAAGUGGAGGGUGGGAAGAAUUCUAUUUUUGGAGUUGAAAGGCCACCUUUGACCCAGAAAUGUGCUGUUGGGUGAAAGACACUUCUCUGUUCUGUCUAACUUGAUUUACCCAAGGAAUGGAGAAAUGUACAGGAGGUCAACUUCAGAAGACUUGUUUCCUCCUAGGGCUCUAAGAUAACCCAUACUAACCUCGUCUCAAGAAUUUUAGAUUUUUCAGGUGUUUAUUUUGGUCUUGUGUGACCCAUUGCCAGUCAUUUAAAUUUAGAUUAUUCAAAACCUUCUAAAUUGAUAUCUUGAGUGUUUUCCAAGAUAUGAGGGUCAGAAUUUAUACUUCUAGAUCAAAGCAUGGGCAACUAAGGGCCAAAUCUCACUUACUGCCUGAUUUUGUAAAUAAAAUUUUAUUGAAACACAGCCAUGUCCAUUCAUUUACAUGUUGUCUA